rnacentral:rRNA from 1 species
UACGGAGGGAGCAAGCGUUACUCGGAAUUAUUGGGCGUAAAGGGCGCGUAGGCGAUUUGAAAAGUCUUGUGUGAAAGCCCCGGGCUUAACCCGGGAAGUGCACAAGAAACUGUUGAAUUUGAGUUCCGGAGAGGAAGGCAGAAUUCCCGGUGUAGCGGUGAAAUGCGUAGAUAUCGGGAGGAAUACCAGUGGCGAAGGCGGCCUUCUCGGACGGAUACUGACGCUGAGGCGCGAAAGCCAGGGGAGCAAAGCGGGAUUAAGAUG